GGGUUGUGAGGUUAAGCGACUAAGCGUACACGGUGGAUGCCCUGGCAGUCAGAGGCGAUGAAGGACGUGCUAAUCUGCGAUAAGCGUCGGUGAGGUGAUAUGAACCGUUAUAACCGGCGAUUUCCGAAUGGGGAAACCCAGUGUGUUUCGACACACUAUCAUUAACUGAAUCCAUAGGUUAAUGAGGCGAACCGGGGGAACUGAAACAUCUAAGUACCCCGAGGAAAAGAAAUCAACCGAGAUUCCCCCAGUAGCGGCGAGCGAACGGGGAGGAGCCCAGAGCCUGAAUCAGUGUGUGUGUUAGUGGAAGCGUCUGGAAAGGCGCGCGAUACAGGGUGACAGCCCCGUACACAAAAAUGCACAUACUGUGAGCUCGAUGAGUAGGGCGGGACACGUGGUAUCCUGUCUGAAUAUGGGGGGACCAUCCUCCAAGGCUAAAUACUCCUGACUGACCGAUAGUGAACCAGUACCGUGAGGGAAAGGCGAAAAGAACCCCGGCGAGGGGAGUGAAAAAGAACCUGAAACCGUGUACGUACAAGCAGUGGGAGCCUCUUAAUGGGGUGACUGCGUACCUUUUGUAUAAUGGGUCAGCGACUUAUAUUCUGUAGCAAGGUUAACCGAAUAGGGGAGCCGAAGGGAAACCGAGUCUUAACUGGGCGUUAAGUUGCAGGGUAUAGACCCGAAACCCGGUGAUCUAGCCAUGGGCAGGUUGAAGGUUGGGUAACACUAACUGGAGGACCGAACCGACUAAUGUUGAAAAAUUAGCGGAUGACUUGUGGCUGGGGGUGAAAGGCCAAUCAAACCGGGAGAUAGCUGGUUCUCCCCGAAAGCUAUUUAGGUAGCGCCUCGUGAAUUCAUCUCCGGGGGUAGAGCACUGUUUCGGCAAGGGGGUCAUCCCGACUUACCAACCCGAUGCAAACUGCGAAUACCGGAGAAUGUUAUCACGGGAGACACACGGCGGGUGCUAACGUCCGUCGUGAAGAGGGAAACAACCCAGACCGCCAGCUAAGGUCCCAAAGUCAUGGUUAAGUGGGAAACGAUGUGGGAAGGCCCAGACAGCCAGGAUGUUGGCUUAGAAGCAGCCAUCAUUUAAAGAAAGCGUAAUAGCUCACUGGUCGAGUCGGCCUGCGCGGAAGAUGUAACGGGGCUAAACCAUGCACCGAAGCUGCGGCAGCGACACUAUGUGUUGUUGGGUAGGGGAGCGUUCUGUAAGCCUGUGAAGGUGUGCUGUGAGGCAUGCUGGAGGUAUCAGAAGUGCGAAUGCUGACAUAAGUAACGAUAAAGCGGGUGAAAAGCCCGCUCGCCGGAAGACCAAGGGUUCCUGUCCAACGUUAAUCGGGGCAGGGUGAGUCGACCCCUAAGGCGAGGCCGAAAGGCGUAGUCGAUGGGAAACAGGUUAAUAUUCCUGUACUUGGUGUUACUGCGAAGGGGGGACGGAGAAGGCUAUGUUGGCCGGGCGACGGUUGUCCCGGUUUAAGCGUGUAGGCUGGUUUUCCAGGCAAAUCCGGAAAACCAAGGCUGAGACGUGAUGACGAGGCACUACGGUGCUGAAGCGACAAAUGCCCUGCUUCCAGGAAAAGCCUCUAAGCAUCAGGUAACAUUAAAUCGUACCCCAAACCGACACAGGUGGUCAGGUAGAGAAUACCAAGGCGCUUGAGAGAACUCGGGUGAAGGAACUAGGCAAAAUGGUGCCGUAACUUCGGGAGAAGGCACGCUGAUAUGUAGGUGAAGCGACUUGCUCGUGGAGCUGAAAUCAGUCGAAGAUACCAGCUGGCUGCAACUGUUUAUUAAAAACACAGCACUGUGCAAACACGAAAGUGGACGUAUACGGUGUGACGCCUGCCCGGUGCCGGAAGGUUAAUUGAUGGGGUUAGCGGUAACGCGAAGCUCUUGAUCGAAGCCCCGGUAAACGGCGGCCGUAACUAUAACGGUCCUAAGGUAGCGAAAUUCCUUGUCGGGUAAGUUCCGACCUGCACGAAUGGCGUAAUGAUGGCCAGGCUGUCUCCACCCGAGACUCAGUGAAAUUGAACUCGCUGUGAAGAUGCAGUGUACCCGCGGCAAGACGGAAAGACCCCGUGAACCUUUACUAUAGCUUGACACUGAACAUUGAGCCUUGAUGUGUAGGAUAGGUGGGAGGCUUUGAAGUGUGGACGCCAGUCUGCAUGGAGCCGACCUUGAAAUACCACCCUUUAAUGUUUGAUGUUCUAACGUUGGCCCGUAAUCCGGGUUGCGGACAGUGUCUGGUGGGUAGUUUGACUGGGGCGGUCUCCUCCUAAAGAGUAACGGAGGAGCACGAAGGUUGGCUAAUCCUGGUCGGACAUCAGGAGGUUAGUGCAAUGGCAUAAGCCAGCUUGACUGCGAGCGUGACGGCGCGAGCAGGUGCGAAAGCAGGUCAUAGUGAUCCGGUGGUUCUGAAUGGAAGGGCCAUCGCUCAACGGAUAAAAGGUACUCCGGGGAUAACAGGCUGAUACCGCCCAAGAGUUCAUAUCGACGGCGGUGUUUGGCACCUCGAUGUCGGCUCAUCACAUCCUGGGGCUGAAGUAGGUCCCAAGGGUAUGGCUGUUCGCCAUUUAAAGUGGUACGCGAGCUGGGUUUAGAACGUCGUGAGACAGUUCGGUCCCUAUCUGCCGUGGGCGCUGGAGAACUGAGGGGGGCUGCUCCUAGUACGAGAGGACCGGAGUGGACGCAUCACUGGUGUUCGGGUUGUCAUGCCAAUGGCACUGCCCGGUAGCUAAAUGCGGAAGAGAUAAGUGCUGAAAGCAUCUAAGCACGAAACUUGCCCCGAGAUGAGUUCUCCCUGACUCCUUGAGGGUCCUGAAGGAACGUUGAAGACGACGACGUUGAUAGGCCGGGUGUGUAAGCGCAGCGAUGCGUUGAGCUAACCGGUACUAAUGAACCGUGAGGCUUAACCUUACAACGCCGAAG
rnacentral:rRNA from 1 species